rnacentral:rRNA from 1 species
AUGGCAACACAUCAUGUCCAGAACAGCUUUGAUUUACUGUAUUAUUUUCGUGCUAUGGAUGCAGGGUUCGACAAGGAAACGGUGCUGGAGGCAUUCUACCCCGUCUUCAUUUCUGGGUCGGCGGCGGUUCCGUGCGUGGACCCGUCCAAGCACAUGAAUUUCGAUGGCCUGCACAUGACGGAGGCGGCGUACAAGCUCAUGGCCCGCGGGAUGCUCGACGGCCCGUUCGCCGCGCCGUCCAUCAUGUCCACCACAUGCAACCACAGCUGCUAG